UCCUACGGGAGGCAGCAGUGAGGAAUAUUGGGCAAUGGAGGCAACUCUGACCCAGCCAUGCCGCGUGAGUGAAGAAGGUUUUCGGAUUGUAAAGCUCUUUCGGAUGUGACGAUGAUGACGGUAGCAUCUAAAGAAGCCCCGGCUAACUUCGUGCCAGCAGCCGCGGUAAUACGAAGGGGGCGAGCGUUGUUCGGAAUUACUGGGCGUAAAGGGUGUGUAGGCGGUUAUGUAAGAUAGCGGUGAAAUCCCGGGGCUUAACCUCGGAAUAGCCGUUAUAACUAUGUAGCUAGAGUUAUGGAGAGGAUAGCGGAAUACCCAGUGUAGAGGUGAAAUUCGUAGAUAUUGGGUAGAACACCGGUGGCGAAGGCGGCUAUCUGGCCAUAUACUGACGCUGAGGCACGAAAGCAUGGGGAUCAAACAGGAUUAGAUACCCUGGUAGUCCAUGCUGUAAACGAUGAAUGCUGGUUGUCGGCUUUAGGGUCGGUGACGAAGUUAACGCGAUAAGCAUUCCGCCUGGGGAGUACGGUCGCAAGAUUAAAACUCAAAGGAAUUGACGGGGACCCGCACAAGCGGUGGAGCAUGUGGUUUAAUUCGAUGCAACGCGAAGAACCUUACCAACUCUUGACAUCCUUAUCGGGGGGCGCAGAGAUGAGCCCUUUCAGUUAGGCUGGAUAAGUGACAGAUGCUGCAUGGCUGUCGUCAGCUCGUGUCGUGAGAUGUUGGGUUAAGUCCCGCAACGAGCGCAACCCCUGCUAUCAGUUGCCAGCGAGUAAAGUUGGGCACUCUGAUAGGACUGCCGGUGACAAGCCGGAGGAAGGUGGGGAUGACGUCAAGUCAUCAUGGCUCUUACGAGUUGGGCUACACACGUGCUACAAUGGUAACUACAGAGGGGAGCGAGGCCGCGAGGUUGAGCCAAUCUUAAAAAGUUAUCUCAGUUCGGAUUGUUCUCUGCAACUCGAGAACAUGAAGUUGGAAUCGCUAGUAAUCGCGGAUCAGCAUGCCGCGGUGAAUACGUUCCCGGGUCUUGUACACACCGCCCGUCACGCCAUGGGAGUUGGUUCUGCCUGACGGCGUUGAGGUAACCCGCAAGGGAGCCUGGCGACCACGGUAGGGUCAGCGACUGGGGCGAAGUCGUAACAAGGUAGCCGUAGGGGAACCUGCGGCUG
rnacentral:rRNA from 1 species